CUGAAAUGGUGAAACCAUUUUUUUUCAAAGGCAGCCAAGAAAGAAUCCCGAUUCCCUAAUCGUAAAAGAAACACAAACCCUUUUCUUCCCUUCUCCAAUUGCACCGCAAAAACCAUAUCUAAUCAUCCCAUAUCAACCCCUAGACUCUUCACUCCAAAGCAUACUCAGUCCACUCUCCAAUUGAAAACUCUUUACCCCCAUCCUCUCAAGCAAAUCUCGAUUUGUCUUUCCAAUCCAUGUAUUUUUUUUCUUUCUUUUUUGAGGGCUUUUGGUUUUUGAUUUGUUUACUUUUUCUUUGUCAUUUUCCGAAAUAGAUUGUAGUAUUUCAUUGUCACUGUGCGUUGUGUAUAUUUUUGAGAAAUUUGCUUCGUCCUUCCUGAACUUAUUGUCCUAGUAGCAACUUUGCCCCCAACAUUUUAUUAUAGUAGUUGCAAGAUUAAUAGAAAAUGUCCAAAUUUUUAUUAAAUCAUGGCCCUCGUUUGUUCAAUUUUGUGAAGCUAGAUUCUGCUUUCCAAUUUGGAUGGUUGUGGUUAUAUUCUUUUUGCUUUCUGUUUAGCUGGUAAUAUAACUAUUUUCUUAAAGAGAGAGAGAGAGAGAGAGAGAGAACUGGAUUUUGUUGUAGUAUAAUUGAUUUGGGAAUUUAUGUUUAUGAAAUUACAUUUGCGAAUUGUGAUUUAUGAUAAGUGAUUUAUGUUUUAUGAGUUAUGAUUAUUGAUUUGGAAAUUUAAAAAACUUAAGAAUGAGAUAAUAUUGUAACGUUUUCAAAACAUGAGACCCCAUAAAAUACAGUUGUCUAAAUUUACAGUUACAAAGUGACUGAGUAAAGUUGUAGCGUAUAUUUUUUUUUAACAUUUUGGGUUAUAUUGAAGUAUAUUUUCAUAUGUAUAUAAUUUUGAUGUUUUAGUUCAUUUACAUAUAUAUCGAAUAACUUUUAAUAUUAUUAAUCAAAUUUUAAUAAACGAUCGGGCUAUUACAAUAGUUCAUUGUCGACGGUAAACAGUCAACCUCCGUUCUAGCAGAACUUCAAUCUUGGAUUCACGCUUGAUGGUAUGGUCUAUAAUUAAGCAACAAUUUACUUAAACUUUUGUAUUCUUUUUAGCUUGUGUUUCUAUUGGUCAUCUUAUUAUUUAAAAUAUAUCAAAAUAAAUUACACGUUCUUUGGGACGUAAGAAGAAGGCCUUGAAUUUCCAACUUGUUUGAAAUUGUUUGUGAUAUUUUGGCCAAGUAAUCUUUGAAAUACAUGAAAUUAUUGGCUAUGGCUCAUAAUUUUGUCUAUUUUAUUUAUCUAAUGCCUAUUUUAAGACUAUAGGGGCUUGAUUAUUUUUACAAUAUGGGGGAGACAUUACAUGCUUUUUAAUUUCCCAAGUUCAUAUUUUUUGGCACUUGGGAUGUUCUUAAAUUCGUUGCCCAUUUAUGUUAUAAUUAUUUGGUUCUUUGUUGAUUAUGGGUGAAUGACAUUCAACAAUAUUUAGUUGUUCACCAGUUAUGAGUACCCAUAUUAUAUCCAAGCAUUUCAUUGAAUUGUCAUGAAUCCUUGAAGAAGGAAAAGAAAAAAAGCUCUAAACUAAUAUUAGUACAAUUGAACUAGAAAUUCAAUAACUCUAAAUAUUAUUUGACCUGGUCGGAUCAACAAUGUUUCGAAAUAAGAAUUCGAAUAAAUGGUAAUUGAAGAACCAUAAGAUUCUUCAACUAAUGAAUUCUCUUAUGAUGCUUGUUCUCUGUAUUGAAGUUAAGCCAUCGAUCAUCGCUAGCUAUAACUAGAUUGAAUCCCUAUAUUGAAAACUUGUUAGGAUAAUACAUGAGGCUCCGUCACUCUCGAUGUUGACCAUUUAGAUAUUAUUCUAUCAUACAUAUGUGUGAUGAUUGCACGGUGUUAUUAUAUGUUUGCAACCUAAAGUUUGCAAGACUACUUGCUCAUAUUUUAGAUUAUGACCAUAAUUUUUAGAUGAGGAAAUUGCAUCUCAUGUCACUUUUUGGAUUGGUAUUUUUAAAAAUGUCACAUUUUAAUAAUCUUUGCAAGAAUGUUAAUUUUGGACUUUUUUACCCUCUCAAAAAUCUAAUUACCUUGCAUGUCAUUAAUUAAAGUUGAUUUGACUAGAUGAAAAAAUGGUACAAAAAACGAAAAAAUAUCACAUCAAAUCAUCCACCCUUACUUUUUAAAACCAUUUUCCAAUUUUGUACGUAUUCCCAUUUUGCAAGCCCACUUGCCAAACCUAUUUCACAUUGCAAACUAAACCCAUUUCACACAAAAAUGGUGAAGAAGAAUUUGAAGAAUUUCCAUCCCCACAAUAAUCACUUUCCCAUCUCACGAUCGAUAACCCACACCUAGUUGGAAUACAUUUCAAGUUCAAUAUCUGAUUGUUCAUAUUUGGCUCCAAAUUCAAAUCGAGGUAAAUGCCACUUUCAUUUUUUUAGAUUUACAUGUUUUGAAUAAUUUAUACUUUAAUUGUGUUAUGGUUGGUUGCAAUCUGAAGUUGAGGGGGUGGGGGGGAAUUCGUAUAUAUGGUUUCGAUUUAAUAAGUGACCAUAUUCAAGCUCCUAAAAAAAUUGAGAUUUUGAAACAUUUUCCAUAUAAUGUUGGGUAGAAUUAUUUAGUUUGUUUGAUUUUUUUGGUUUAAGAAAAAUCUAGAUUUGUUCCUUUAUUUUUUCUCCUUCUAUGUAGUAUUCCUAUUUUUUGAGUUAGAUUUGUUCAUUUAGACUUGUAACUAGGAUUACUUAAUUUUUAACGACAUAUAUGCUCUCUGUUUAUGAAAAAGCGAAAAUAUGUGAAAAAUGUAGUGCGCUCUUGUUUAAUGAAUUACAUUUAGGUUGCACUUGAAAGUAAGAAUAUAUGAAACUUUAGUACACUCUUGUUUAGUGUUAGUUGUAUGAUUUUGACAAUUUUACUUGAUUUUGAAGUUUUAUAGAGAAUUACUUUCCGAAUAUGUUAUUGUUUUGUGGGAUAUCGUUGAAGUAAAUUAUUGUCAUACUGUGUUAUGAAUUUAAGUUUGCAUGAAGUUUGUCUCAUUUUUUAAUUUAUAAAUCAAUUUAGUUACAUUUAUUUGUAAGCUUGUUUAUUUAUCUAUACAUUUUGAUAUUUUUUAUCGAGUCAUUGAUUCAAUUUUGAAUAAAUAAGGAGUUAUGUUUACUCUGUGAUUAUGUUUUCUCAAAGAUUUGAUUAUUCAAUUUGUAAGUACAAUAAUUUAAAUGCAUAUGUUGGGAUCUUUUUUAUCUUUUACUGACAGUGAGUUGUUAAAUCGAUUUAUGGUCUGUUCACUUAUCGUUUGGAUUGAAUUUUUGAGUUUAAUUUGAAUGUGGGCUAAAUUUGUGAGUUCAUAUGUUUUUGAAUUUGAUGUAAUGUGAUUUAAUUUGAGGAUUUAAAUAUUUGAUUCAUGAUAACAUAUGGAUAAUUCACAUAUUGUUCUUAUGGAAUCCAUAUGUCGAGAUAAACUAUCAUUCUUGACAGCUAUGAUAUGAAAUUCUCGAUAGUUGGUUAUUGUUCCUCAACAAUUAUUAUACAAUGUCAAACUUGUUUCAUAUGCUCUUCCACGUGUGUUACAAAGUAAAUAUAUUAAAUAUUAUAAUUUGAUUUUUGGUAUUUGUUCAUGCUACCGAUUUUUCAAUAGAUUAACAAACUAUAAUGCCAUUGGAGGAUUGCUUGAAGGAUACGUCAGCACCAUCUUCUAGUAAAGGUUGUGCCCUCAAAUGCUACCGAUCUAAUUGAAAAUGAAGAAGUGAUGGUGAUGAAGAAAUGAUGCUCAACGCAAAUUCGAAUACUGUCUGCUUUGAAACCUUUUCCAAUGCAAUAAAGUUACAUAGUGCAUUUAUCUUUGAUAAAGAGGUAUUUUUCAUGGGUUUACUUUGGUAUCGUGUUCAUAUUAUUGUACAAAAGUUCUUCACCUUAAUAUAGUAACAAAAAUUAAAAUAUUCGGUUCAGGCUAUGUUGUUCAGUCUUCAGGCACUAACGCUUACUUGCGGUCAUAUGUUCAUUAAUUUCCCUCAAAGUAAGCUAUACCUUUCUUGAGACUAGAACUCCAUGCACGAGGAGUGGUAAAAAACGAAGAAAAACAUGAAAUAAUUGAAUUUUGAUGAACUAAAAUUAUUGUCGUCCCUCUUUGAAGGGUUGAGAAUCGUGAAAUUUUCUAAGUUAUGAAACUCAUGUACCUAAUCUUUGUAAGUAUAACUUAUUUUCGUAUAUGUGUAGUUUAUUUUGUAGUUUUGCGAAAAUAUAGUUGUUUAGCCAUUGUGUAACUUGAUUAUGUGACUGUUACUAGUUGUGUAUUAUAAUUAUGGUCAAGUUUAGGUAUAUUUAGCCAAGUGCAAAAAAUUAUAUGGACAUUCUAAUUUCUUUUCAAUUUAAUCAACUGCCCUGUGUGAUAUAAUGACCAUCCUUUACUUGAAAUGAUGAGAUGUUGCAUGAUGUGGAAAUCCAAUGAAUAAAUUUGGAUGAUGUUAGUGAUUCAUAUACAUUAAUCGAUCGUCUUGUCAUGGUUACUGUAUCUACGCAUUGCUAUAUAUCCAUUAUAUUAUCUAGUUUGUUACAAACCGUUAUUUAUUUUUUGAUUUGUCUUGUGUCAAACUUGCCAACAUACAAUUGUCGAAAAUUAGUGCCCAAAAAGUUUGUUAAUACUAUGAUAAACACUAUUUGGUGAUUGUGUACUGAAUGACCAUAGUAGGGACAAUUUUCCAAGAAUUUGAUUAUAAACAUGCUACAAUUCUCCAAGAAUUUGAUUAUAAACAUGCUAUUUGGUUUAUAUAUGUGCUUAUAAGUCUCCUAGAAUUGUCGUUUCCAUUUAUGCUAUGUUUGCUAGAUGUAGGGUGUAUGUUGUUAAUUUUUGUGAUAUGUGAACUUAUCAAUUUAUCAUACAUCAUUAUCUCUAUCGUUUAUUUUGCAUGCGACAUUUGGAAUAUUGCGUUCAUCCAUGGGAAUCAACCAAUCAUACGUUCUGAAUGAGCCUCCGACAAUAUCUUAUUCUUCCCCGAUAUUUUCCAUCAUAGUCGUAUUGAAUGAUAAGGAAGUCACCUCUCUGAAGGUUUCACCUCCUAAGAUUAUUGUCAUAAGCUUAGACGAUUCUGAUGAAGACAAUGGGAGGAACAAUCAAAUGUCGAUGACUAUUGAUGUGGGCAAAAUUUGUGUACAUCAUUGACUAUAAUUAUUUAUUGUAGUUUUGUCAUGGAUUCAUAUGCUAACGUCUGUACAGAAUGUUAUGCAACAACAUAUCCAAUAUGCAUCUUAUUUGUAGUUAAGUUUUCAAGUUUGCAACCAACUGUCUAGAACGACAAGAUCCUUGUGUCAGGAACGAUAGUUUAACUUUUGGGACGUGAUGAAAUA
rnacentral:lncRNA from 1 species